GCCUUCGGGAUGUAAAUUGGUAGCACACUCGACUCCUAUUCGAGAAGACCAGGUUCGAGUUCCGGCGAGGGCA
rnacentral:tRNA from 1 species